rnacentral:rRNA from 1 species
CCUACGUGAGGCAGCAGUGGGGAAUAUUGCACAAUGGGGGAAACCCUGAUGCCGCGACGCCGCGUGAGUGAAGAAGUAUCGCGGUAUGUAAAGCUCUAUCAGCAGGGAAGAAAAUGACGGUACCUGACUAAGAAGCCCCGGCUAACUACGUGCCAGCAGCCGCGGUAAUACGUAGGGGUCAAGCGUUAUCCGGCUUUACUGGGCGUAAAGGGCGCGUAGGGGGGCGCUUAAGUCAGUGGUGAAAACUCCGUGCUCAACCUGGAGACGGCACUUGAAACUGGGUGUCUUGAGGGCAGUGGAGGAAAGUGGAAUUCCUAGUGUAGCGGUGAAAUGCGUAGAUAUUAGGAGGAACACCAGUGGCGAAGGCGACUUUCUGGACUGUACCUGACGCUGAGGCGCGAAAGCGUGGGUAGCGAACGGGAUUAGAUACCCUUGUAGUC